rnacentral:rRNA from 1 species
AUGCCUUCCUCCUCCGCCGCCGACUCAGGCCACGGCGUCGCCACUGCCACCGCGCCGUCGAGGGACACGGCCGUCGAGGGCUUCGUCUCGUCCCUGCGCACCCAGGACGAGGUCGACGUGCUCUGCCAGAAGCACGGCGUACCCAAGGAUCAGUACACCGCGCGCCCCGCCGGCGACCUGCGCGCGAACUCUACGCCGCCGCCGGGGUCCAUCUGCGUGUAUGCUCGCGCGCUGGAGGCCGGGCUGCGCUUCCCGCUGCACGGCUUCUUCCGCGAGGCGCUCGCCCACUUCGGCAUCGCGCCGGCCCAGCUCACGCCCAACGGGUGGCGCGUCAUGGAGGGGUUCGUGGCGCUCUGCCGCUCCGCCGGCGUGCGCCCGUCGCUCGCCGUGUUCCUGCGCUUCUUCUACCUGUCCGCCAUCGACCGGAAGCGCAAGAAAGGGUGGUACUGUCUCGGACCCAUGCGCGACAGCUCCAGCUUGCGCUUCACGGGGAUGCCGGGCCGGGGGUCCAAAGCCAUCAUGGGCUGGAGACACGACUUCUUCUUCCUCUCGUCGCCGGAGCCGUGGCACUGCGCCGUGGAGUGGGGCGCGCCGUCCAAGGGCUCCUUCAGAAAGCCGGCGCUCACCGUUGAGGAAAACGAAUCGAUGGUGAAGCUGCUGAGUGCUCACGGUGGCGUCGCUGUUGAUCUUAGGAACCUGCUCCCUGCUACGUGCCCGCGGCUCCGGCGCCGCCGCCGUCUCUGGAACAGCAACCCCGCCGUCUCUGCCGCCGUGAUAACCACAGCAUCCCCGCCGCCGCCUUCUUCUUCAACUCGUACUACUUCCUGUUCCAAAGGCAUGGAUCCAUCUGUCUAUGAAAUGAUGAAGGUUCUGCUGGCGGAGAGGGCGGUCGCGCAAGCGUCGGCGUCGGCGAAGAAGAGGACUUGGGAGGAAGCCAACGGCGGGGAGAACGACGGACACUCACCGCCUCUUUCGGUGCUGUCCAGCGUGCACUCGCCACCGCCACAGCACUUCCUCAGCAGGCAUGACGGAUACACGGAGCUGCUGCAGGGAGCCGUCGCGCAGCAGCUGGAGCUGGAAGGGAAGCUGGUGGCCAGGGAGCGCGAGGCCGCGGCGCUGCGGGAGCUGUUGGAGGAGGCGAAGAAUGAGCUCGCCGCGGCAAAGAGAGCGCGGACGCGGAGCGGGAGAAGGCCAAAGCCGAGCUCGCGGCGGUGGAGGGGGAGGUGGUGA